UCGGUGUGUACAAGGCCCGGGAACGAGCGCAACCCACAUCCUUAGUUGCCAGCAGUUCGGCUGGGCACUCUAGGGAAACUGCCCGUGAUAAGCGGGAGGAAGGUGUGGAUGACGUCAAGUCCUCAUGGCCCUUACGGGUCGGGGUACCCACGUGGUACAAUGGCAGGGACAGUGCGUUAAUCCCAAAAAUCAUUCUCACUUUG
rnacentral:rRNA from 1 species